CCCCCGCCCGGCGCCCCCCAGCCCCGGGGAGAGGUGGCCCGGCCGGGGGCUGCCUGGGCAACGGCGGGGCGAGAGCGCAGGACGCCUGCUCCGGGACAGUUUCUAAAAGAAGGACUAAAGUAAUGUCAAGAACUCGCAGAUGAAGAGGACCUUCCUUAGACCUGUAAGAGAUUCACUACUGACUUCAGAAGGAAGUUUCAGCUAAUUCUCAGGAAAAGGUCAAAACAGGCCUGUGACUGUCCCUGGAAUACUGAAGAAAUGAACUAAUGACCACUACAAAGGAAGAAUUCAUGACAGCAUUUCCUAGAGAAAAGGCUUAGGUGUGCAUCUCCAAAUGAUGGUUUCUUUUUCUACACCUUAGCUUUUUCAUAGCUCAAUUCUUUUUACAACUUCUCUUGUGUUUUUUCUUUGAUUGUCAGUUUUCUUUCAAAGUUUAUUUUUUGCUACUUAAUGCAGAAAAGUGAGCUCUGGCCUCCCUAAUGUAAAAGUCGAUUGUGUCCAGAAAGAGGGCAGUAAAAAGAGCAAAGCAGGAGCUACUUUCAAAAAGCCCUAUCCAAAUCAUCCUGCCUAGAACCUUUCUAGGUUUGCAUCCUCAUUUCCCCCUCCCCUAAUUUCAAUAGCUGGAAAGUAAUCAAGUAUCCCCAGAACCAAUUUUUGCACUAGACUCCAAAUAAAUAAAAUAAUGUUUUCAAGUG